rnacentral:rRNA from 1 species
GAUGAACGCUGGCGGCGUGCCUAAUACAUGCAAGUCGAACGAAACUUCUUUACUACCGAGUGCUUGCACCCACCGACGAAGAGUUGAGUGCCGAACGUGUGAGUAACACGUGGGCAUACUGCCCAAAAGCGGGGGCUAAUACCGCGUAACAGGUGCGAGUACCGCAUAACCAUAUUCACAGCUCGGGCACUCAGUAAAACCUGGCUAUAAUACCCUAGUUGGUUGGGUCCGGGGCGCAUUAGCUAGUUGGUAGGGUAAAGGCUUACCAAGGCAAUGAUGCGUAGCCGAACUGAGAGGUUGAUCGGCCACAUUGGGACUGAGACACGGCCCAAACUCCUACGGGAGGCAGCAGUAGGGAAUCUUCGACAAUGGGCGAAAGCCUGAUGCAGCCACGCCGCGUGUGUGAAGAAGGUCUUCGGAUCGUAAAGCCCUGUUGGUAGGGAGGAAAGGCCGUGAGUGUAACUGUUCACGUUUUGACGGUACCUAAACAGAAAGCCACGGCUAACUACGUG